GAUGAAGAACGCAGCGAAAUGCGAUAAGUAAUGUGAAUUGCAGAAUUCAGUGAAUCAUCGAAUCUUUGAACGCACAUUGCGCCCGCCAGUAUUCUGGCGGGCAUGCCUGUUCGAGCGUCAUUUCAACCAUCAAGCCCCCGGCUUGUGUUGGGGACCUGCGGCUGCCGCAGGCCCUGAAAACCAGUGGCGGGCUCGCUAGUCACUCCGAGCGUAGUAAUACAUCUCGCUCAGGGCGUGCUGCGGGUUCCGGCCGUUAAAAAGCCUUAUUUACCCAAGGUUGACCUCGGAUCAGGUAGGAAGACCCGCUGAACUUAAGCAUAUCAAUAGGCGGAGA
rnacentral:misc_RNA from 1 species